GCCCUUAGAGUUUGAUCCUGGCUCAGAUUGAACGCUGGCGGCGUGCCUAACACAUGCAAGUCGAGCGGUAACGCGGGAGCAAUCCUGGCGACGAGCGGCGAACGGGUGAGUAAUGCUUCGGAAUCUACCCACGGGUGGGGAAUAACCAACCGAAAGGUUGGCUAAUACCGCAUGAGCCCUUCGGGGGAAAGCGGGGGAUCGUAAGACCUCGCGCCGGUGGAUGAGCCGAAGCCGGAUUAGCUAGUUGGUAGGGUAAUGGCCUACCAAGGCGACGAUCCGUAGCUGGUCUGAGAGGACGACCAGCCACACUGGGACUGAGACACGGCCCAGAUUCUUACGGGAGGCAGCAGUGGGAGAAUCUUGGACAAUGGGGGAAACCCUGAUCCAGCGACGCCGCGUGUGUGAAAGAAGGCCUGCGGGUUGUAAAGCACUUUUAGUGGGGAUGAAAAGUGCAGAGCUAACACCUCUGCAUCUUGACCUAACCCACAGAAAAAGCACCGGCUAACUCUGUGCCAGCAGCCGCGGUAAUACAGAGGGUGCAAGCGUUAAUCGGAAUUACUGGGCGUAAAGCGUGCGUAGACGGUUAUGUAAGUCGGAUGUGAAAGCCCCGAGCUCAACUUGGGAAUUUGCAUUCGAGACUGCAUAGCUAGGGUGCGGGAGAAGGGAAGCGGAAUUUCCGGUGUAGCGGUGAAAUGCGUAGAUAUCGGAAAGGAACACCAGUGGCGAAAGCGGCUUCCUGGUCCGACACCGACGUUCAGGCACGAAAGCGUGGGGAGCAAACAGGAUUAGAUACCCUGGUAGUCCACGCCAUAAACGAUGAGAACUAGACGUUGAAGGGGUAAGCCUUUCAGUGUCGAAGCUAACGCGAUAAGUUCUCCGCCUGGGGAGUACGGCCGCAAGGUUGAAACUCAAAUGAAUUGACGGGGAAGGGC
rnacentral:rRNA from 1 species